rnacentral:rRNA from 1 species
CGUGAUGGCCAAACCUGCUCUUCGAAGCCUGAUCUCGGAUGCUAAGCAGGGCCAGGCCUGGUUAGUUUGGAUGGAAGACUGUGGGGGAUUCCAGGUGCCCCAGUGG